GGGCAUCUGGCCGAGUGGUUAAGGCGCUGUGUUUAGGUUAGGAUGCAAGUCCAGCUACAACAAUUUCCGCAGUGGGAAACCGCGCAGGUUCGAAUCCUGCGGUGCUCA
rfam:Glarea lozoyensis ATCC 20868 chromosome Tnknown GLAREA7, whole genome shotgun sequence.